CUGAGGCUCAUCUAGAUUCUGCUGUGUGCUUAAAGUCACUCUUGACAAUGGCCCUAAUCAGAGCAGAAUCUGUUUCUGCUGUCUUCCAAGUGAGCAUCUACAGUCUCUGGGAGAUGAUCACAUUAUUCCUCCCUCCAUGUCUCCAAUACCUGGCCCAGCGAGGGUUUUGUUACUAUUGGCAGCGGAACACAGAGGAGUUGACAUCCAAGGUAGGACAGGUUCUGCUCGACUUCACCAUGGUGACUGGAUUCAGGGACCCCACAUCUCUCAGCCGCAACCUUGUUUCUCCCAUGUCCUCUGCCAAGUCCAGGAGCCUCCAGGUCUCAGGGCAGAGGAAGUCAGCUCCAGCUCUCUAUCAGAGGAACUACAGGUGGCCAUAUUUGCAGAUGAAUUUCCACAGGAAGUGGCAGGAUUUGGGAACUGAGAUGGGGACUGAGAUGUGAAUCGAUUCAAAGCCAAGUGGCUCAGCCUCAGGACAUUACGCUUAGUGCUGCCAGCCCUGCUCUUAAAUGGGACCUUGCAGGGCUUCACUGCCUCCACCUGGCUUUCCCAGAGCUGCCUUCCUUUUCUUCAUGCAACCCCAGCAGCAGGACGUUACUUAAAGGAAAGAAACCACACCAAGACUAUAGUCAUUACCCCCAGGAAUACUGGGUUCUAUUUUUGGUGGAUGUGAGGUCUCUGGCCUUGAUCCCCACUCUGCAGUCAUCACUUGGGACAGAACACCCUCUAUGUGCUAUACACCCAGGAAACCUGGUGCCAGUGAGAGAGGAACAGCCUCUGGAAGGGCAGCAAGGACCAGCCUAUGUUGGGCUGGGGUUCAUUCCCAGUGUCAGAGAAGGACUACUUUUAUUGAGCAUCUACUGUUUACUGAGUUCUGGGCACAUCUGCCCCUUGCUUUCCUUGAAGCUUCAUCUUCUAUUCUCUACUUCCCAGUCAACAUGGAGGACUAUUGCUUUUUCAAACAGGUCACUUUUUCUUUCCAGCCUUUGUAUGUUCUGUUCCCUGUGUCUAUGCAAGUCCUCUCUGGUCACUCUAUCUUCUUUGCUAGAUUGUGGGCUCCCAGAGCUACAUGUUUUUAGCUACUGCUUGGUGCUAGCCAAGCAGUCUUUGCUUGUUGGCUGACUGCUGGAAUGAACGAGUAAUUCCCAUCCAAGCCCAUUUGACAGAUGAAAUCACUAAGGCUCAUAGAGAACUAGCUUACUUAGGUAGGGCAAGGCAGGAUGAGAAGCAGAGGCUGGACUUGAACCCAGAUAUGUUUGCUCAUCAAGUUUAUACCUUUUCUGCUAGAGCUGACUCUGAAAGAUAAAAGAAAGGGCUGGAAAUGGUGAUGGGGAGCACAAGGCUACCCUCUGUCCCACUGCUUACAGGUAAUGACACUACAGGUGGGCUGAGCCUGGGGCUGGCCACCAAGGUACCCAGUAAGUGAGACACUGCGGUCUCUCUGGAACUAAGAACUUAUGGUUGCCUAGUCUGUAGACAAGAGGGGCAGGCUGACAGCUCAGCUGGCUAGCAGAGUUUUUAGGGCUGGGCUAUUGUUAGGUCAUAAGCAUUGUCUGGUUAUGGGGGUCUGGCUAGGUGGCUAGGUGGCUAGGUGGCACCAAGAGCCACAUGGACAGCAGCACCCGGGGCAGAAUGCUGGUUUGGCUUGUGUCCUGUCAAAGCUGCGAGCCUCAAAGUGGGGCUGCCUUUGUUCAAGAUGAGGCCUUUUUCUGCCUUGUGCAGAAGUUACAGAGAGGCCGGAAAACAUCUACAUUGAGUGUAGUGGGAUUCAUUCAUGAAGACCAAGAUAGGGCCCAGAUGCAUGUGGUCCACCUUGCUUGCUGGACAGAGGAGGAAGCUGCUGGCUGUCUACUUAUUCAGCUAUUCCUGCAUGCUUCCAAAAAACAUAUACCCUCUGCUCUCAAGAUGAGGUGUGUGUCAGAUCCUCAUCUGUGUGGACAGUGACUCCAGAUACCAGGCAUUCUGACAGCAAGCUUAGGAGAACAAUGCACACUGUCCCCAAGUGUUUCAGGGACAAGUGACUGGGGUUCUGAUGGUAAAGGUGUGCCCCAAAGUAAGGGAAGUCAUAAACAGAGCUCCUCAGCACAGAGGGGAGGAAACACUGUUCCCUAUCAGGAGUCCUCCAUGCAAAAGCCAGGUGCAGAGAUCCCACAAGUCUCUGGAACUACAGAUCAGUAGCACAGGCAACAGGCAGCAUACAGGGUAGGAAGUGACGACUAGGGAGGUUAAAUAGCUGACUCAAGGGGUACACAGCAAUGUUGUCUUGCUGGGAUCCUGAUGAGUUGGAGUUUGUAGGGACCAUGAGACUCAUGGGGGCUGGAAAGGUUCACUAUGCAGUCAGUUGGAAUAGAAGGGAGGGUGCAUGGCUUUCCUGUUGCUUCCUGGUGCAGGGCAUUCCUCUGCCAUUUGUCCUCCACUCUGGGAAUGUGUGAAGGACCUACAAGGCUGCACAGCCAGUCCACCAGUCAUUGCUCUUUGUACUGACAUCUGACCCAGAACUGUGAUCACCAAUUUAUCUACCUUUGCCCAAGUUCAAAACUGCUUCAUAUGCCUAGCCAGGAGGAAUGGCUGUCCAUAUGGCUGUCCAGCAAGAAGACUGUGCCCUCAGUGGGAAGGAGCACUGUGCUGGGAGUCAGCUCUGCUCUCAGAAGUUAGCUCUCAGCAGGUGAUGAACUGGGUUAAACUACAAACAAGGUCUUUGCACAACAAGAAGGCUGGGCUGAGUGGCCUCCAAGGCAUUGUGGUUCUGCCCGACCAGAGGUUCUCAGUCUGGAACAUAUAUCCAAGACCUCAGGAGGGCAGGUACCUCACAGUAGGCAGGUGUAUGGGACUGGAUUCUUCAUCUCCAGCAAUGCCCAACUGGUCCAGGUUUCUGCAUCUUAAGAAAGGCUGCUCCAG
rnacentral:lncRNA from 1 species